UACGGGGGGGGCAAGCGUUGUUCGGAAUUACUGGGCGUAAAGGGCUCGUAGGCGGCCAACUAAGUCAGACGUGAAAUCCCUCGGCUUAACCGGGGAACUGCGUCUGAUACUGGAUGGCUUGAGUUUGGGAGAGGGAUGCGGAAUUCCAGGUGUAGCGGUGAAAUGCGUAGAUAUCUGGAGGAACACCGGUGGCGAAGGCGGCAUCCUGGACCAAUUCUGACGCUGAGUGAGCGAAAGCCAGGGGAGCAAACAGG
rnacentral:rRNA from 1 species